CAUUAGGAGAAAUACCUAAUGUAGGUGAUAGGUUGAUGGGUGCAACAAACCACCAUGGCAUGUGUAUACCUGUGUAACAAAACUACACGUUCUGCACAUGUACCCCAGAACUUAAAGUUAGAUAAAUAAAUAAAUAAAUAUUCUCAGAAUGGGAAGAACUUAGAGGUGCCCUCUUCCAUUUCUUCCUUGCUGGAGGAGAAGAAAAAAACAAAAUAAAUAAACAAAACAAUUAAAACCUCAACUCCAAUAGAAGGUACUAAAAUCGAUAUGUAACUCCAUAAACACACACACACACACACACACACACACACACACACAGAAAACGUGUUAGACUGGUAGAACACGUGUGCAUGAGGCCUGUUAUUUGCAUUAAGCAAAGAGCUCUAGGACAAAGAGAGAAAUAGCCUCCUUUCACUCUGAGAAAUGAUUCCCAUUUGUGUCAGUGAAAGUUAGGGGAGAGGUGCAUUGAGACAGAGCAGGUGAGUCGGCAGCCUUUAACCAGGUUGGUUUGCUUUUACAAGGGCUUUUAACUGCAAGCUGGCUUAUGCAGAUACUGAAGUCAAAGAAUGCCGCCCUCCUAACACACUGCUCUCAGAGUACCUUCCCUCGGAGAUUGCUCUGGCUUCUUCUCUUAGUCAUUUUCACAGCAGGACUUUAUUGGGAUAUAUGGAAGAUUAGCAUGCCCGGGUCUCACCUCUCCCUUUAAUUCUGCAGGAGUCUGGCUGGGCUGGCUUUUAUCUUGUGCUCCCUGGAACCCUGACUGGAUGAUUUCUGAAGUCGAGCUGGAGCCCAUCUAGAGGGAAGGUGAAACUUCUCCUCAGCAUGCAGGGCCUCCUGCACCCACAUGGCCACAGCCACCGCAUUACUAGCUCCUGCCAGUCUGAGGAGCAAGAGGCUGGCAUGAAGAAUCAGUUCCAUUCUUUCCUCCCUACAUUUAGAAAAAGCCUGUUUUGCAAAGCUUUCUUCAGUGUUUCAAGACAAAAAAAAAAAAAAAUUAAGCAGUUGCACAACAUGCAUAUGUUCUCCUGGCCUGCAGCUCCAGAAUAUGCAGCUGGGAGCGAGUGUCCAGCCAAUAGCCCAUGUCUCAGGCCCUGCCAGGGGAUGAAUCAAUUAGCAAGAGAAGCAAUGAUGCAAAUGCUCCGGGGUCACUUGGGAUGCUGUUUGCCUUUUUGAUAGAGAAAGCACGCCAUAAAUAACAUCACACCUCAGGAAAUCAUUCCAGGAGGCCCCGAUGCCGGCAGGGCUGCUGCCGGGGACGGAAGGAAUCAUUUGCUCAUUGUGUGUAUUUCCCCCAGCUCAGUCAAUGGGAGAUUUGUAGUAAAAUCAAAGUAUUUAAAAGGAGGACAGUAUGUGGUAACAGA